UUACGAAUUAUUAUAGUUAUUUACGAAAAUAUAUGGUGUUAAUUAUGAAUUAUUAUAAGUAGUUUACCAGAGAAUAUAAUAUUUGUUAUUAAUUUUUGUGGCUUUCUACAUAUAUGUAUGAUAUCAUUCAUAGCCUUUUUCAUCUCUUAACUUGUUGUUUCCAAAUAUGAGCUUGUUUGUUAAUUAUUGAGUCACAGUGUUUGAAUUUUGAAUAAUCAGUUAUUUAACUUUUCCCGUUUAUUACCAAUCAAAACAUUAAAAAAAAUCCAAUUUAUUGGACCCAAAAAGUGAGAUAUUUUUAAGUUAAGAUUUGUAAUUUUUUCGAAUGAUUUCAACAACUUAAAAUAUAUUUAUGUUCAGAAGAAGCCAUACUAUUUUUCAAUUGAUUGCUGAAAAACAGUUCAAAGAUAAAACUUAUAGAACUUUUAUGAGCAAUUUGAAUAUAUAUUUUACAAAAAUAUAAUCAACAACUAUGAGCAUCUCCAACAGCAUCUUUGUUCCUAUUUUUACGCUAAAAUUGAGAGCAAUUCUUAAAAAAUAAGCUCCAGUAGAUACUUUUUUGACUUCCUACUUUUGAGGGCUACUACACUUUCUCUCCCACAUAUGAAGAGUCACUGCAACAUCCUCCAUUCAUAAGUAAUAAUAUUUCAUGUCAACAAUACUCUCUCUCUUUCCUCGUAAGUUGUAAAUCCAAAUUUGCAACAUAAAUUUUUUGAACAUACAAAAACGCAAGAUUCGAAGUUAGGGGACAACGGUGGAUAUAAGAACUCAAUUCAACGAUUUUGUAGUGUUUUUUAAAGACGUGUGGUAAGAAAUUGAUUAUUUUAUUAAAAUUUAGGAUAAAAGUAAGAAGUAUUGCUGGAUAUGAUCUAAGUUAACUAAACAAUUAACUUUUUGUCAUAACUUAUAGAAAACUACGCCAAACAUGUUUGUAACUUUUUGGGCAAAUAACCUAAAAAUCAUAAUCUAAUAAGCUGGACUUAUAAAUAAUCAAACAGGGCCAUUCUAUGAUAUGGGGUUGUAAUCUAAGUCCAUGAUAGAAAACAAUAUCCAGCCCCAUAUAAUAAAAUAAAGUCCAUGCACUUGAUCCACACAGAGGUAAUGGGCCCAAUGGCCCAAUAAUUUACCAAUUGUUUUGUGAUAAUCAUACGUUCGAUUUUUCUGGGAAAAGGGUUUUCUCCCAAACUAAAAUCCAAUAAUAGGUAAAUAAAAGGACUAGUUUGGAAAAACAAAUUAGGUAAGAAUAAAAUAUGUUUAUCGAAAUAAAGAUAAAUGAGCAAAUAAAAUGAUAUUUUUUUAAAAAAAAUAUAUAUUUGGUUUGGUGCAACAUUCGCCCAUAGUUCAUCCUCGGACCCUUCUUAUAUGUAGUGACAAUGACCUAGUUUGACAUAGUUUUUUCAAAACUUGAGUUUUUUGGAUUCUCGAAUUUUUGCAUGUUCAAGAAAUGUUUGGUGCGAUAGUCAGCUCUAUCUGUCCCGCUUAUAUGUAGUGGCAAGGACCUAGUUGACACACACACACACACAAUAUAUAUAUAUAUAUAUAUAUAUAUAUAUAUAUUAUAUAUAUUUUUAAGACUUGAGUUUUUUGGGUUCUCGAUUUUUUAUAUUUUUUAUGAUUUCUUUUAUUGUUUGAUAAAAGUAUAAUUUUUUUGUGUUCUUCUUGAUGAGAUAAGUUUAAAAAUAUAAAAUUUUUUAUUUAAUAUAAAAAUAUUACUAAAGACAAAAAAAAAAUUUUACUCGUUAAAUUAGCUUUUGUUCUUCUUCAAUUAUUGUUUUUCCAAGAAAUAACAAUUUUUUAUAUUUUUAUUAUUUUUUCAUUAAAAGAAAUCAAAAAAUAUGUAUUUUUUUAUAAAAUAGUAAAAAAAAUAAUUCGAAAACCAAAAUAUUUGAAAAAAUCUAUCUGUCUAUAAAACCUGGCCAAACCAAGCCGAAAAAAUGACUUUUGACAUUUAUGCAAACUUUGGCUCAAGCCACGACAAAAGGUUUGCUAGACCCACUCCUUUCGCGACAAUGGCAAAUCGAAGCCAAACAGAGCCUUUGAUCUUGAAAUAGAAUCGAAGCCAAACAGAGCCUUUGAUCUUGAAAUAGAAGACUUGGACCUUGGGGUCACCUCCAUCGUCUUGCACGGCUGCUGCUCAAAAGGUACAAUAAUAACCAUAGAACGUAACAUCACUAUGCUGUACCAACUGACCAAACGUUAAUGAAAAAUAAAUAUUUAUAACAAAAAAUAAAAUAAAAUAAGAAAUACUAUUAUACAAACAUUGGGACUCAUAAAUUGUUUACAAAAUCUAUUAGAUUGUGUGAAUCCCUCCUCUUACAUGUGAGAGAAUAUGUACAUUUAUCUAUACAGAUGUGGGUGUUGGUAAUAUUAUUGAAAAAAAAUAUAAAUUAUGGCCUAAUCGGAGUCCCACGAGACCGGCCAAAACAGACUCUCUAAACAAGUAGAGAAGCACGAAGGUAGUUCAAAACUCCUUUUAGUAGAUAAUUUGCAAAUAAAUUGA
rnacentral:lncRNA from 1 species